CCUACGGGAGACAGCAGUGGGGGAUAUUGCACAAUGGGGGGAACCCUGAUGCAGCGACGCCGCGUGGGUGAAGAAGCGCCUCGGCGCGUAAAGCCCUGUCAGCAGGGAAGAAAAUGACGGUACCUGAAGAAGAAGCCCCGGCUAACUACGUGCCAGCAGCCGCGGUAAUACGUAGGGGGCAAGCGUUAUCCGGAUUUACUGGGUGUAACGGGGGCGCAGGCGGCGAUGCAAGCCAGGAGUGAAAGCCCGGGGCCCAACCCCGGGACUGCUCUUGGAACUGCGUGGCUGGAGUGCAGGAGGGGCAGGCGGAAUUCCUGGUGUAGCGGUGAAAUGCGUAGAUAUCAGGAGGAACACCGGUGGCGAAGGCGGCCUGCUGGACUGCAACUGACGUUGAGGCCCGAAAGCGUGGGGAGCAAACAGGAUUAGAUACCCCUGUAGUC
rnacentral:rRNA from 1 species